UAAUGACCGUCUCAGCGUCCAUGCAACCUAGUGGAGCACUGGUUAUUCGGCUGAGCUGCCCGCCAGCGCCUGGGUUAGUACGUCACAGUCUCGACUGCCCGACGGAACGACAGGUAGCAGGCACCAGCCUGGCCGAGCACGCUGUUGGGUAUCUGAGGGAACCGGCGCAAGCUAGGGAGCCUCAAAACAGCUAGGCACCGAGUCACCACGGACGUGGCGACGAGGGCCUAGUGCUGUCCGUAUCUUGAGAACUGCACAGUGGACGCGAGCAUCUUCUUCUUAGAAGUGUGUCUGUAGUGAUUUUGCUAAGUUACUAAGAGCACAC
rnacentral:misc_RNA from 1 species